GGAUGUUGCAGCUUGGAGACGUGGAGAUCGCGGAAGCUCUCGCGGAAAUGUACCAGUGAUGCACGGCCAUUGUCCAGGAUGAGAUUCUGGCUGAUUCCAAUGAAGGCUGACUAUAUGAAGGUCGGCUCUUUAAAUACUGAAGCGCAGUAAUAGUAGAUGUUGUGUCCCGUGUUGCCCACGGGAGAUGAAGGCGGCACAGAGAUUGACACAAUUCAAUUUCAUUUAAACAUAAAGUGCUCCAGGAACCCAAGAGCUACCAAAGACUCUACAGACCCCAGUGAGCUCUGCCACAUGGGAAUGUUUUCCUGCUGUUUCUGUCAUUGGAGAUGUGAAGAUCCAGCGAUUGCAUUUAAUAUGGAAUGGUAAAGACCAUGCCAAGUUUUCUCCAAACGAGGAGCACAUCAGCAAAAAGCUCUACAUAAUUGCUUUGGUGAGAAGGAUCAGUUUCCUUAUCGCAUUCUUGCUGGAUCAUGGUAUGUCUUUAUUGUGCACAGUAGUACAAACUGGGGCUCACAAACAAAUCAUCUGGAAGGGUAAUAAAAAAGCUAAAUAUAUUCUGUGUGUGUGUGUGUGUCUCUGUGUGUCUGUGUGUGUGUGUGUCUCUGUGUAUGUGUGAGCCUCUGUGUGUGUGUGUGUGUGUCUGUGUGUCUGUGUGUGUGUGUCUGUGUGUGUGUGUGUGUCUGUGCGUGUGUGCGUCUGUGUGUCUGUGUGUGUGUGUCUGUGUGUGUGUCUGUGUCUGUGUGUCUGUGUCUGUGUGUGUGUGUGUCUGUGUGUGUGUGUGUGUGUGUCUGUGUCUGUGUGUGUGUCUGUGUGUGUGUGUGAGUGUGUGCGUGUCUGUGUGCGUGUGUGUGUGUCUGUGUGUGUGUGUGUCUGUGUGUGUGUCUGUGUGUGUGUGUGAGUGUGUGCGUGUCUGUGUGCGUGUGUGCGUGUGUGCGUCUGUGUGUGUGUGUGUGUGUGUGUGUGUGUGUGCCCUACCUGCAUCACCAGAGCCUUCUUUUUCAUUUAGAGAGGAAGGUUGCUAAGGUGCUGAAUUUUCAACUAGAUACCUGCAGUGGAGAAGUCCUCCGGUACGAGGAACUGAAGAACAAGGUGAAGCUUGCCAGAGUCCGGGAUCACUUUAUCUUCUCUGUGAAGUCAACAGCAAUCCUUCCCCCUGAUGUUCCAGUGGGUGAGGUUAUCGAAGUCCUGAUGGCAAGGUGUAGGAGGUUUCUGGAUGAACUGGACUCCUUCCCCCCGAUGUUCCGGUGGGUGAGGUUAUCGAAGUCCUGAUGGCAAAGUGUAGGAGGUUUCUGGAUGAACUGGACUCCUUCCCCCCCGAUGUUCAGGUGGGUGAGGUUAUCAAAGUCCUGAUGGCAAGGUGUAGGAGGUUUCUGGAUGAACUGGACUCUGCUCAGCUGGACUAAAGGAAGAGUGUGAAGAUCUUGCUGGACUUUCCCAUUUUGGUAUCUGUUUGUUCUUCUGGACAGAGAUUAUCCAAUCUGCAACCCCCACUAAGAGUCUGGGGUUUAUCUACAGACGAUUUCUCUUUACAGUUUGAUAUUGCGUAGCUGAGUUGUAAAGACGGCUUUCUUCUGUGUAGAAGUAUAGUUUGCCAGAAGCUAUUCCAAGAUUUGUAGUUUUGGUUAUACAGAACUGUGCUGAAAACCAAGACUGUUUUCUAUUACGUUUUACGUUCUUAUCGAUCUCCCACCCCCAUGUGAUUUAAUUGUUAAAGCAGUUCAAAUCAGCUGUGUCCAAUAAACAUGAAAAACAAAG